rnacentral:rRNA from 1 species
UACGUAGGUCGCAAGCGUUGUCCGGAUUUACUGGGCGUAAAGAGCGCGCAGGCGGCUGGUCAAGUCCGAUGUGAAAUCUCCCGGCUCAACUGGGAAACUGCAUCGGAAACUGAUCGGCUUGAAGAUGGGAGAGGGUAGUGGAAUUCCCGGUGUAGUGGUGAAAUGCGUAGAGAUCCGGAGGAACCCCAGAGGCGAAGGCGGCAGCCUGGUUCGUACCUGACGCUCGGACACGACAGCAUGGGGAGCGAACGGG